CCCUUAGAUGUUCUGGGCUGCACGCGCGCUACACUGAUGCGAUCAACAAGUUUUUCCUAUGUCGAUAGACACGGGUAAUCUUUUGAACUCGCAUCGUGAUGGGGAUAGAUUAUUGUAAUUAUUAAUCUUCAACGAGGAAUUCCUAGUAGGUGCAAAUCAUCAGUUUGCAUCGAUUACGUCCCUGCCCUUUGUACAUACCGCCCGUCGCUGCUACCGAUUGGUUGAUCUGGUGAAUUAUUCGGACUGCCGGCUGAAGGGGUUUCCUCAUCUGCCAGCGGAAAGUCUUGUUAACCCUAUCAACUAGAGGAAGCAGAAGUCGUAACA
rnacentral:rRNA from 1 species